rnacentral:rRNA from 1 species
CACGUAGGGGCCAAGCGUUGUCCGGAUUUAUUGGGCGUAAAGAGCUCGUAGGCGGUUCGACAAGUCGGGUGUGAAAACUCCGGGCUCAACCCGGAGACGCCACCCGAUACUGUCGUGACUGGAGUCCGGUAGGGGAGUGGGGAAUUCCUGGUGUAGCGGUGAAAUGCGCAGAUAUCAGGAGGAACACCGGUGGCGAAGGCGGAUCUCUGGGCCUUGCCUGACGCUGAGGCGCGAAAGCUAGGGGAGCGAACAGG